CCGUUAGGGCGUCCGGCAGACAGCAAACGCGCAUUGGCAGUGCCUGCGACCGUAUAGCCAGCGUUCGACACGCUGUUGACGAUC
rnacentral:tRNA from 1 species